GUGGAGUGUUGCUAUGGGGCAGCACUGUGGGUCAGUGCUCCACUUAUGGGGCAGAGCCCCACUUGUGGGUCACAGGCCCACUUGUAGGUCACAGCUUCACAUACUUAUGGGGCAAUGCACCACUUAUGGGGCAGAGAUUCAUGUACUUAAGGGGCAGAGCCCAACUUGUGGGGCAGAGAUUCAUGUACUUAUGGGGCAGAGCCCAACUUGUGGGGCAGAGAUUCAUGUACUUAUGGGGCAGAGAUUCAUGUACUUAUGGGGCAGAGAUUCAUGUACUUAUGGGGCAGAGCCCCACUUAUGGGGCAGAGUUUCACACACUUAUGGGGCAGUGCCCUAGUUGUGGGUCAGUCCAUGUGGGGCAGCACUGUGGCUCUGAGCCUCACGCGUGGGUCAGAGCCCCACUUAUGGGUCACAGCUCCACUUAUGGGGCAGAACCCCACUUAUGGGGCAGAGCCCCACUUAUGGGUCACAGCCCCACUUAUGGGUCACAGCUUCACGUACUUAUGGGGCAAUGCACCACUUAUGGGGCAGAGAUUCAUGUACUUAUGGGGCAGAGCCCCACUUAUGGGGCAGAGCUCCACUUAUGGGGCAGAGCUUCAAGUACUUGAGUCACAGCCCCACUUAUGGGUCUCAGCCCCACUUACAGGUGCUUCACUUGUGGGUCAGAACCCACUUAUGGGUCAGAGCUUCACGUACUUAUGGGGCAUCGCCUCACUUGUGGGUCAGAGCCCCACGCGUGGGUCAGUCUGUGUGGGUGAAUGCCCUACUUAUGGGUCAGAGCCCCACUUAUGGGUCAGAGCCCCACUUGUGGGUCACAGGCCCACUUAUGGGUCACAGCCCCAUGUGUGGGUCACAGCUCCACUUGUGGGUCACAGCCCCACUUAUGGGGCAGAACCCCACACGUGGAUCAGUCUCAGUGGGUGAAUGCCCUACUUAUGGGUCACAGCCCCACUUAUGGGUCACAGCCCCACACGUGGGUCACAGGCCCACUUAUGGGUCACAGCCCCAUGCGUGGGUUGGUCCAUGGUGGGCAGCGCUGUGGCUCAGAGCCCCACUUAUGGGUCACAGCCCCACUUGUGGGUCACAGCCCCACUUAUGGGGCAGAGCCCCACGUGUGGGUCAGUCCCUGUGGGUGAAUGCCCCACUUAUGGGUCAGAGCCCCACUUAUGGGUCAGAGCCCCACACAUGGGUCAGUCUGUGAGAGUCAAUGCCCUACUU
rnacentral:lncRNA from 1 species